UACGAAGGGGGCUAGCGUUGCUCGGAAUGACUGGGCGUAAAGGGCGCGUAGGCGGCUCACAGAGUCGGACGUGAAAUUCCUGGGCUUAACCUGGGGGCUGCGUUCGAUACCUGUGGACUAGAGUGGGGAAGAGGGUCGUGGAAUUCCCAGUGUAGAGGUGAAAUUCGUAGAUAUUGGGAAGAACACCGUGGCGUAGGCGGCGAC
rnacentral:rRNA from 1 species